rnacentral:rRNA from 1 species
GGCGGCCGUACUUUCGGCGGGCGGAGCGCCACGACCGGUUCGCGGGCGGCGAGAAACUCCCGGGCAAGGUGACCUUCGUCUCGGCGCAGGAGCAUACAGGCCCGGUGAGCGUCGGCCCGUCUGUGGACCGAGGAAGACCGUCGCGGAGCGGCGUCGACCGCCCGUCGUGUGGUUGCGUUCGACUCGGGGGGACUGGUUCCAGUGCCCUCGGACCGCGCGGCCGCAGCGGCGGGACGGCCCGGCGUCGCUCCUGGGGUCGGUGGCGAAACGGCCGGCAACCUGUCCGACCCGUCUUGAAACACGGACCAAGGAGUCUAACAUGUGCGCGAGUCGUUGGGCGCUACGAAACCCGAAGGCGCAAUGAAAGUGAAGGCCCGGUCUUGUGCCGGCCUGGGUGGGAUCCGGGCGGUCUCGGCCGUCCGGCGCACCACCGGCCCGUCUCGUUCGCCGCGUCGAAGAGGCGGAGCAAGAGCGUACACGUUGGGACCCGAAAGAUGGUGAACUAUGCCCGAGUAGGACGAAGCCAGAGGAAACUCUGGUGGAGGUCCGCAGCGAUUCUGACGUGCAAAUCGAUCGUCAAACUUGGGUAUAGGGGCGAAA